AGAAUCAACGCUGGCGGCGUGCCUAACACAUGCAAGUCGAACGAGAAAGUGGAGCAAUCCAUGAGUAAAGUGGCGACCGGGUGAGUAACACGUGACUAACCUACCCUCGAGUGGGGAAUAACAUCGGGAAACCGAUGCUAAUACCGCAUAACAUCGCAAGAUCAAAGCCGAAAGGCGCUUGAGGAGGGGGUCGCGGCUGAUUAGCUAGUUGGUGAGGUAAUGGCCUACCAAGGCGACGACGGGUAGCCGGCCUGAGAGGGCGACCGGCCACACUGGGACUGAGACACGGCCCAGACUCCUACGGGAGGCAGCAGUGGGGAAUCUUGCGCAAUGGGCGAAAGCCUGACGCAGCGACGCCGCGUGGGGGAUGAAGGCCUUCGGGUUGUAAACCCCUUUCAGCAGGGACGAAGCGAAAGUGACGGUACCUGCAGAAGAAGCGCCGGCUAACUACGUGCCAGCAGCCGC
rnacentral:rRNA from 1 species